rnacentral:rRNA from 1 species
UACGUAGGGGGGCAAGCGUUGUCCGGAAUCAUUGGGCGUAAAGAGCGUGUAGGCGGCCAGGUAGGUCUGCUGUGAAAACUCGAGGCUCAACCUCGAGACGUCGGCGGAAACCAUCUGGCUAGAGUCCGGAAGAGGAGAGUGGAAUUCCUGGUGUAGCGGUGAAAUGCGCAGAUAUCAGGAAGAACACCCGUGGCGAAGGCGGCUCUCUGGGACGGUACUGACGCUGAGACGCGAAAGCGUGGGGAGCGAACAGG